CCCUUAGAUGUUCUGGGCCGCACGCGCGUUACACUGAUGCAUUCAACGAGCUUAUAACCUUGGCCGAGAGGCCUGGGCAAUCUUGUUAACGUGCAUCGUGAUAGGGAUAGAUUAUUGAAAUUAUUAAUCUUGAACGAGGAAUUCCUAGUAAACGCAGAUCAUCAAUCCGCAUUGAUUACGUCCCUGCCCUUUGUACACACCGCCCGUCGCACCUACCGAUUGGAUGGUCCGGUGAAGCCUCGGGAUUGUGGUUCUUGCCGCUUUAUUGUGGCGUGACCGCGAGAACUUGUCUAAACCUUAUCAUCUAGAGGAAGGUGAAGUCGUAACA
rnacentral:rRNA from 1 species